UGUAAUGACGGGGCUGAAGGGGCUACCUUCGGGUAGGCCGGUAUCCUUUGAGGCCGGUGGUGAGAACCCCUUCAGUCCUGUCGCCAUA
rnacentral:antisense_RNA from 2 species